rnacentral:rRNA from 1 species
GACGAACGCUGGCAGCGUGCUUAACACAUGCAAGUCGAACGGUGAAGCUCCAGCUUGCUGGAGUGGAUCAGUGGCGAACGGGUGAGUAACACGUGAGCAACCUGCCCCUGACUCUGGAAUAAGCGCUGGAAACGGCGUCUAAUACUGGAUACGAGAAGGGUCCGCAUGGGCACUUUCUGGAAAGUUUUUCGGUUGGGGAUGGGCUCGCGGCCUAUCAGCUUGUUGGUGAGGUAAUGGCUCACCAAGGCGACGACGGGUAGCCGGCCUGAGAGGGCGACCGGCCACACUGGGACUGAGACACGGCCCAGACUCCUACGGGAGGCAGCAGUGGGGAAUAUUGCACAAUGGGCGAAAGCCUGAUGCAGCGACGCCGCGUGAGGGAUGACGGCCUUCGGGUUGUAAACCUCUUUCAGCAGGGAAGAAGCGAAAGUGACGGUACCUGCAGAAGAAGCACCGGCUAACUACGUG